rnacentral:rRNA from 1 species
AUUGAACGCUGGCGGCAGGCCUAACACAUGCAAGUCGAGCGAAUGAGGGAAGCUUGCUUCCCGAUUUAGCGGCGGACGGGUGAGUAAUGCCUAGGAAUCUGCCUAUUAGUGGGGGAUAACGUUCCGAAAGGAACGCUAAUACCGCAUACGUCCUACGGGAGAAAGUGGGGGAUCUUCGGACCUCACGCUAAUAGAUGAGCCUAGGUCGGAUUAGCUAGUUGGUGAGGUAACGGCUCACCAAGGCGACGAUCCGUAGCUGGUCUGAGAGGAUGAUCAGCCACACUGGAACUGAGACACGGUCCAGCCUCCUACGGGAGGCAGCAGUGGGGAAUAUUGGACAAUGGGCGAAAGCCUGAUCCAGCCAUGCCGCGUGUGUGAAGAAGGUCUUCGGACUGUAAAGCACUUUAAGUUGGGAGGAAGGGUUGUAAGCUAAUAUCUUGCAGCUUUGACGUUACCAACAGAAUAAGCACCGGCUAACUCUGUGCCAGCAGCCGCGGUAACAC